UACGGAGGAUGCGAGCGUUAUCCGGAUUUAUUGGGUUUAAAGGGUGCGUAGGCGGUAUUUUAAGUUAGUGGUAAAACGUCGGGGCUUCACCUUGAUUGGCCAUUAAAACUGGAGUACUAGAGUACAGACGAGGUAGGCGGAAUGCGUGGUGUAGCGGUGAAAUGCAUAGAUAUCACGCAGAACUCCGAUCGCGAAGGCAGCCUACCGGCGCGCAACUGACGCUCAUGCACGAAAGCGUGGGUAUCGAACAGG
rnacentral:rRNA from 1 species